UACGAAGGGGCUAGCGUUGUUCGGAUUUACUGGGCGUAAAGCGCACGUAGGCGGAUUGGUCAGUUAGGGGUGAAAUCCUGGAGCUCAACUCCAGAACUGCCUUUAAUACUGCCCAGUCUCGAGUCCGGAAGAGGGUAAGUGGAACUCCUAGUGUAGAGGUGGAAUUCGUAGAUAUUAGGAAGAACACCAGUGGCGAAGGCGGCUUACUGGUCCGGUACUGACGCUGAGGUGCGAAAGCGUGGGGAGCAAA
rnacentral:rRNA from 1 species